GGGUUGUGAGGUUAAGCGACUAAGCGUACACGGUGGAUGCCCUGGCAGUCAGAGGCGAUGAAGGACGUGCUAAUCUGCGAUAAGCGUCGGUGAGGUGAUAUGAACCGUUAUAACCGGCGAUUUCCGAAUGGGGAAACCCAGUGUGUUUCGACACACUAUCAUUAACUGAAUCCAUAGGUUAAUGAGGCGAACCGGGGGAACUGAAACAUCUAAGUACCCCGAGGAAAAGAAAUCAACCGAGAUUCCCCCAGUAGCGGCGAGCGAACGGGGAGGAGCCCAGAGCCUGAAUCAGUGUGUGUGUUAGUGGAAGCGUCUGGAAAGGCGUGCGAUACAGGGUGACAGCCCCGUACACAAAAAUGCACAUAUUGUGAGCUCGAUGAGUAGGGCGGGACACGUGGUAUCCUGUCUGAAUAUGGGGGGACCAUCCUCCAAGGCUAAAUACUCCUGACUGACCGAUAGUGAACCAGUACCGUGAGGGAAAGGCGAAAAGAACCCCGGCGAGGGGAGUGAAAAAGAACCUGAAACCGUGUACGUACAAGCAGUGGGAGCCUCUUAAUGGGGUGACUGCGUACCUUUUGUAUAAUGGGUCAGCGACUUAUAUUCUGUAGCAAGGUUAACCGAAUAGGGGAGCCGAAGGGAAACCGAGUCUUAACUGGGCGUUAAGUUGCAGGGUAUAGACCCGAAACCCGGUGAUCUAGCCAUGGGCAGGUUGAAGGUUGGGUAACACUAACUGGAGGACCGAACCGACUAAUGUUGAAAAAUUAGCGGAUGACUUGUGGCUGGGGGUGAAAGGCCAAUCAAACCGGGAGAUAGCUGGUUCUCCCCGAAAGCUAUUUAGGUAGCGCCUCGUGAAUUCAUCUCCGGGGGUAGAGCACUGUUUCGGCAAGGGGGUCAUCCCGACUUACCAACCCGAUGCAAACUGCGAAUACCGGAGAAUGUUAUCACGGGAGACACACGGCGGGUGCUAACGUCCGUCGUGAAGAGGGAAACAACCCAGACCGCCAGCUAAGGUCCCAAAGUCAUGGUUAAGUGGGAAACGAUGUGGGAAGGCCCAGACAGCCAGGAUGUUGGCUUAGAAGCAGCCAUCAUUUAAAGAAAGCGUAAUAGCUCACUGGUCGAGUCGGCCUGCGCGGAAGAUGUAACGGGGCUAAACCAUGCACCGAAGCUGCGGCAGCGACACUAUGUGUUGUUGGGUAGGGGAGCGUUCUGUAAGCCUGUGAAGGUGGCCUGUGAGGGUUGCUGGAGGUAUCAGAAGUGCGAAUGCUGACAUAAGUAACGAUAAAGCGGGUGAAAAGCCCGCUCGCCGGAAGACCAAGGGUUCCUGUCCAACGUUAAUCGGGGCAGGGUGAGUCGACCCCUAAGGCGAGGCCGAAAGGCGUAGUCGAUGGGAAACAGGUUAAUAUUCCUGUACUUGGUGUUACUGCGAAGGGGGGACGGAGAAGGCUAUGUUGGCCGGGCGACGGUUGUCCCGGUUUAAGCGUGUAGGCUGGUUUUCCAGGCAAAUCCGGAAAACCAAGGCUGAGGCGUGAUGACGAGGCACUACGGUGCUGAAGCGACAAAUGCCCUGCUUCCAGGAAAAGCCUCUAAGCAUCAGGUAACAUCAAAUCGUACCCCAAACCGACACAGGUGGUCAGGUAGAGAAUACCAAGGCGCUUGAGAGAACUCGGGUGAAGGAACUAGGCAAAAUGGUGCCGUAACUUCGGGAGAAGGCACGCUGAUAUGUAGGUGAAGCGACUUGCUCGUGGAGCUGAAAUCAGUCGAAGAUACCAGCUGGCUGCAACUGUUUAUUAAAAACACAGCACUGUGCAAACACGAAAGUGGACGUAUACGGUGUGACGCCUGCCCGGUGCCGGAAGGUUAAUUGAUGGGGUUAGCGGUAACGCGAAGCUCUUGAUCGAAGCCCCGGUAAACGGCGGCCGUAACUAUAACGGUCCUAAGGUAGCGAAAUUCCUUGUCGGGUAAGUUCCGACCUGCACGAAUGGCGUAAUGAUGGCCAGGCUGUCUCCACCCGAGACUCAGUGAAAUUGAACUCGCUGUGAAGAUGCAGUGUACCCGCGGCAAGACGGAAAGACCCCGUGAACCUUUACUAUAGCUUGACACUGAACAUUGAGCCUUGAUGUGUAGGAUAGGUGGGAGGCUUUGAAGUGUGGACGCCAGUCUGCAUGGAGCCGACCUUGAAAUACCACCCUUUAAUGUUUGAUGUUCUAACGUUGGCCCGUAAUCCGGGUUGCGGACAGUGUCUGGUGGGUAGUUUGACUGGGGCGGUCUCCUCCUAAAGAGUAACGGAGGAGCACGAAGGUUGGCUAAUCCUGGUCGGACAUCAGGAGGUUAGUGCAAUGGCAUAAGCCAGCUUGACUGCGAGCGUGACGGCGCGAGCAGGUGCGAAAGCAGGUCAUAGUGAUCCGGUGGUUCUGAAUGGAAGGGCCAUCGCUCAACGGAUAAAAGGUACUCCGGGGAUAACAGGCUGAUACCGCCCAAGAGUUCAUAUCGACGGCGGUGUUUGGCACCUCGAUGUCGGCUCAUCACAUCCUGGGGCUGAAGUAGGUCCCAAGGGUAUGGCUGUUCGCCAUUUAAAGUGGUACGCGAGCUGGGUUUAGAACGUCGUGAGACAGUUCGGUCCCUAUCUGCCGUGGGCGCUGGAGAACUGAGGGGGGCUGCUCCUAGUACGAGAGGACCGGAGUGGACGCAUCACUGGUGUUCGGGUUGUCAUGCCAAUGGCACUGCCCGGUAGCUAAAUGCGGAAGAGAUAAGUGCUGAAAGCAUCUAAGCACGAAACUUGCCCCGAGAUGAGUUCUCCCUGACUCCUUGAGAGUCCUGAAGGAACGUUGAAGACGACGACGUUGAUAGGCCGGGUGUGUAAGCGCAGCGAUGCGUUGAGCUAACCGGUACUAAUGAACCGUGAGGCUUAACCUUACAACGCCGAAG
rnacentral:rRNA from 1 species